GCCAUCAUGGUCUAGUGGUUAGAGCAUUAGACUACAACUCUGGAAACCAGGGUUCAAAUAUUUGUUCAGUCA